rnacentral:rRNA from 1 species
AGUGAACGCUGGCGGUAGGCCUAACACAUGCAAGUCGAACGGCAGCACAGUAAGAGCUUGCUCUGACGGGGUGCGAGUGGCGGACGGGUGAGGAAUACAUCGGAAUCUACUUUUUCGGGGGGGAUAACGUAGGGAAACUUACGCUAAUACCGCAGACGACCUACGGGUGAAGGGAUGGGAUCGUCGGGCCGGGCGCGAUUGAAUGAGCCGAUGUCGGAUUAGCUAGUUGGCGGGGUAAAGGCCCACCAAGGCGACGAUCCGUAGCUCGUCUGAGAGGCUGGUCGGCCACACUGGAACUGAGACACCGUCAAGACUCCUACGGGAGGCAGCAGUGGGGAAUAUUGGACAAUGGGCGCAAGCCUGAUACAGCCAUACCGCGUGGGUGACGAAGGCCUUCGGGUUGUAAAGCCCUUUUGUUGGGAAAGAAACGCAGCAGGUUAAUACCCCGCUGUUCUGACGGUACCCAAAGAAUAAGCACCGGCUAACUUCGUG